GCCUGCCAAGUGUGAACAAUGAUCAGCCAUAAAGUGCUUCUUCUUGGAGGCCACUCAUCUUAAACAGAAAGAGCCUUGAGCUAAAUCAAAGACCUGGUUUCUAGUUCGUGCUCUCCCUGGGUAGCCUUUGGACAUUCAUCAAGACCAACAUACCUGCCAAGGCUAACCCUGGAAGCCCUGUGACUGGCCGUUCAGAAUCGACAUCCUCCUUGUCUGCCAUCCACUCGUUUACAAACUGGUGUCAAUGAAGGGUGAGGAGAUAGGGAUACAGAGAAGGAAAAUGACUUGCCUAGGAUUACAUGCUGGUAAGAAGAGGAACUAUAGGAAGAUCUGGGUGUCGGUUGCAAAUUCCAUACUUGCUGCAUUACAGCGUGCACGGUAAUGACCAUCUGGGCCUGGGCCUGGGCCUGGGCCCGGAACACUGGCAUGUAGUUGCUGCUCAACAAAGAGUAACACCACCAGCUAACCAGGCACAGUGGCUCAUACCUGUAACCCCAGUAUUUUGGGAGGCUGAGGCGGGAGGAUUGCUUGAGCUCAGGAGUUCAAGACCAGCCUGGGCAAUAUAGUGAGACCUCAUUUCUACUAAAAAGCAAAACAAUUGAUUUUGAUGGUGUGCACCAUCUUUGAACUACUGGGAGAUCAAAGCUGCAGGAAGCUUGCUCGUGUUACUACAUUCCAGCCCGAGUGGGACAGUGAGACUGUCUCAAAAACAGAAAAAAGGAGAGAAGAAAAAGAGCCAAACACCGUGCCCCACCAUGUGCUGGGUGAUGCCCCAUGCCUGUGCACUCUCACCUCAACUGAGUACAGUAGUAUUACCUAAUUGCAUAGAGUUAGAGGUUAAAUUCCUCUUCUUUUUGCAUAUGUUUCAUCAAAUGGAAUGAAAAACCUCAUUUUUCCUAAGGGUUAGUAGAUGGUCAGACAGCUGAUACAUCCCAAAUCUAGCUUCCUCCUACUCUUUUUUUUUUUUUUUUGAGAUGGAGUUUCACUGCUGUUACCCAGACUGGAGUGCAAUGGCACGAUCUCGGCUCACCGCAACCUCCGCCUCCUGGGUUCAAGCAAUUCUCCUGCUCAGCCUCCUGAGUAGCUGGGACUACAGACGUGAACCACCAUGCCCAGAUUGGUGACUGAGGAGGGGACUUAGAGAGUAUCAAUUUGAAACUGCUUAUCUUCUGACUGCUGCUGAGCUUCAUGUGCUGCGUUCCCCGUCCAGCUACCUGGAAUCCUGGAAUUCUGUGUCCUGAGGGCACUUAGGAGAGCAGAGGUGCAUGGUUGGAUGUAAUGCUACACCCUGGGCAGGCUGCUCUUCCAAUGAUCAUGUAGCCACAGAUUAGGAGUUCCAGAAGGCACCCUUGGCUCAAUGCAAUUUCCAAAGCCAGACAAGAACAGAGGGAGAAAUUCUCUCUAGAGAGCAACUGAACUGAGUAUGUUUGGAAGUAGUGGGUGAGAUGAUGGUUGCUACUGAGUUCAGGCCAUAGGAUUUUAGGGAUCAGGAACUUGCCUUCAGGGUAGCCAGAUAAGAGGAGCAGUAGCCUCUGUAUUUACCUUUUGACUGCUAGAUGUUCAAAAUGACAGCCAGGACUCCAGUGAGGCUGCAAGUGCCGGAGGGGUUUUCCCUAGGAAGCUGGAAUAACCAAGGCUCUCAAAGUUAAAACUAAAACCGCUCAGAUGUGGAAGGUACAACUCAACCCUUUAAGUGAAUAAAUGAUUCAUAGCAUGCAGGUGGGGUUGGCUCUGCCCUUUCAUUUUCAACUAUCUUCAAGCCCCUAAGGAGAUACCUUUUCUGAAUUAAAAUCAGGAGAAAAAUACCUAAAUUAUCUUAUCCUCCGUUGUUCUGUAGUGCUUUUUCCAACCCUUACCAAAAGAUGGAGAUCUCUUUUAUAAGUGGCAACUCCCUUUGCUAACAGAAGGGGUUGCUUUCAUUUCUAAUAACGGCAUUCAUGUUCACUGGGAAACAAGAAUGUAUUGAACAUAGCACCAACUUUGGAAUUACAUGGUCUGAAUUAAAUUCUGUCUCAAGGCAUCAUGCUGUGCAAUAUUGGGCAAGUUCCUUUACCUUCCUGAGUCUCAGGUUCUUCACUGUAGAAUGGAGACAAUAACAACAGAAGCUAAAAUGUAUUGAGCACUUGAAUGUUGCAAAUCACUUUGAACAUUAGAGGGGCGGUUUAGCCACGCAGCCUCACUACCAAACUAUUCACCAGGCAGUAACAGGGUAUCCUGACAAUUAUAGAUAGUUCUCAAUGGCUUCCAUGGCAUUGUUAUAUUAGAGAUUUCCUUUGGUUUUUCCAGUUGUUUAAUGAGGUAGGUAGACCCAGUAGGGCUGAUGAUAUCUGUUUUGAAUGAAGAAAUUAUGCUCAGAGAGUUUAAGUGGCUUUUCUGAGGUCAUCCAGCCUACAAAUGAAGGACAUGGAUCUGAACCCAGGUAAUCCCCACAAUGCUAUGUGCUAUGCAUGUGCUUUAUAAAUUUCUCAUUUACUAUGUAGAGUAGCCGUUCUCAACCGGGAGCAAUUUUGCCUCUCAGAAAACAUUCAGCAAUGUCUAAAAACAGUUUACAUUCUCACAACUAGGGGAUGCAGGACUACUGUUUCUAGUGUGUAGAGGCUGAAAUGCUAUUAAACGUUCUACAACGCGCAGGUCAACCCUGUGCAGCAAGGAAUUAUCUGUCCCCAAAUGUCAAUGGUGCCAAAGUUGAUACUGUAAUACAGAGUAAAGAACUAAUGCAAGUUGUUUACAUUUUAUGGAUGAUAAGACUGAGACCUAGAGAUUACGUUAUUUUCCCAGGGUCAUUUAGGAUAUGGUAAAGCGGGGAUUUAAAGCCAGAAAACUUGAACCCACUCCCCACUUCCUAACUACUAAGCUAUACUCUCUCCAAGGAAAUCUAUAUUGAAUCCAUCAAGGGCCUUAGAAGGCACUAAAAGGAUACAUACUACAAGUACAUGUGGGGACUUUACCUACUCAGCCACAGAAAAUAUAACCCUAAUCUAAAUCUAAGACUUCAGAGUAGGGCCUGUCACCCCCAUAAUAGCUCAGCCCUUUAUUUUUGUUAUACCAAAUAGUAUACUUGUUUUAUUCCAAAGGAAAGUCUAGCUCCUCCUCUAAAAUGCCAAUAUUGUUAGUCCUAAAUUCUAAAUUCUAAAGAAUUAUUAAAGAAUCAAUUCUAAAUUCCAAAGAAAUAAAAUGAAGGACCAAAAAUGAUGAUUGAUGAGAACAUGACACAGGGCAAGAGGGCGAGAAGCCUGGGGCCCCAGAAGCAUGUGUUCUCUGGCAGCUCUGGUUCUCAAGGGAGGGGGCUCUGUCUGCUGUUGGAGGUCAUGGGAUCUGACUUAUCUGCAUUGGAAGGAGGUGUGGGGUUACAUGGAUCCACCCAUAUUCUCUAUUUGACCAGAAGGAAACCCCUCUUUGUUUCUGGAUCACAUCCCAAAUGAGAUCAUUUGUAAAAUAAGCAGUUUCAAAUUGAUACUCUCUUAAGUCGCCUCCCUCACCACCAAUCUUCAAAGUUCUGGCCUCCAUAUCAGUAGCUUGAAAACAUAUAUCCUACUAUUUCAUAUAUAUAAAUGGCAGGCAUGCUUAUGGAUGGCACACUUAUUUAGGUAUGUCCCAACUUCUAUGAAACUAUAAUCCAUUGUGCAGAUAAAGACAUAUAUAAUCAAAGGCACUACAACAGUCCUUGCCAUGGUAACUUUUAAUGAGCCAUCUGCAGUGUGCAAACCCAUGGGGCUGUGGGUUAUGUUCAGUCCCCAGCCAUGGAUGUGUGAGAUGGCUGUCCCAUGGGCAAGGACACAUGGAGCUAGCUGCUGGAGGAGAUGCCGUUCUAGAUGUUCAAGGAGCCGGGAAUAGUCCCAGGUGUAGUCAAUUAGGUAGGGACGACCCGCGGAGGCCCAACCCUGGAUCCACUGUGAUGGAUAGAGCUCCAAGUAGCAGCCCCAAGUUCCCAUUCCACAGAUAUUAGAUAUCUCCUUUCACUUGUGGAUGAUGAGAUUUUUAGUAGUUUACUAGCUGGUUAAAGAGUGUCUUCUCUAAGAAUGUGUAUUAUACAAAUUAGAGCAUCGUCAUUAUUCUGAAACCUUUACAUUAAAAAAGUUCAGCUGGAUUUGAAAUCCAUUUUUAUUUUUA